GACGAACGCUGGCGGCGUGCCUAAUACAUGCAAGUCGAGCGGACUUGAAGGAGUGCUUGCACUCCUGAGAGUUAGCGGCGGACGGGUGAGUAACACGUAGGCAACCUGCCCUCAAGACUGGGAUAACUACCGGAAACGGUAGCUAAUACCGGAUAAUUUAUUACAUAGCAUUAUGUGAUAAUGAAAGACGGAGCAAUCUGUCACUUGGGGAUGGGCCUGCGGCGCAUUAGCUAGUUGGUGGGGUAACGGCCCACCAAGGCGACGAUGCGUAGCCGACCUGAGAGGGUGAACGGCCACACUGGGACUGAGACACGGCCCAGACUCCUACGGGAGGCAGCAGUAGGGAAUCUUCCGCAAUGGGCGAAGGCCUGACGGAGCAACGCCGCGUGAGUGAUGAAGGUUUUCGGAUCGUAAAGCUCUGUUGCCAAGGAAGAACGUCUCAUAGAGUAACUGCUAUGAGAGUGACGGUACUUGAGAAGAAAGCCCCGGCUAACUACGUG
rnacentral:rRNA from 1 species